rnacentral:rRNA from 1 species
UACGAAGGGAGCUAGCGUUGUUCGGAAUCACUGGGCGUAAAGCGCACGUAGGCGGAUGUGUCAGUCAGGGGUGAAAUCCCGGAGCUCAACUUCGGAACUGCCUUUGAUACAGCACGUCUUGAGUCCGAUAGAGGUGGGUGGAAUUCCUAGUGUAGAGGUGAAAUUCGUAGAUAUUAGGAAGAACACCGGUGGCGAAGGCGGCCAUCUGGCACACAACUGACGCUGAGGCGCGAAAGCGUGGGGAUCAAACAGG